AGAGUUUGAUCCUGGCUCAGAUUGAACGCUGGCGGCAGGCUUAACACAUGCAAGUCGAGCGGGGAGAUGUAGCUUGCUACAUUUCCUAGCGGCGGACGGGUGAGUAAUGCUUAGGAAUCUGCCUAUUAGUGGGGGACAACAUUCCGAAAGGAAUGCUAAUACCGCAUACGCCCUACGGGGGAAAGCAGGGGAUCUUCGGACCUUGCGCUAAUAGAUGAGCCUAAGUCAGAUUAGCUAGUUGGUGGGGUAAAGGCCUACCAAGGCGACGAUCUGUAGCGGGUCUGAGAGGAUGAUCCGCCACACUGGGACUGAGACACGGCCCAGACUCCUACGGGAGGCAGCAGUGGGGAAUAUUGGACAAUGGGCGCAAGCCUGAUCCAGCCAUGCCGCGUGUGUGAAGAAGGCCUUUUGGUUGUAAAGCACUUUAAGCGAGGAGGAGGCUACUUGGAUUAAUACUCUAGGAUAGUGGACGUUACUCGCAGAAUAAGCACCGGCUAACUCUGUGCCAGCAGCCGCGGUAAUACAGAGGGUGCGAGCGUUAAUCGGAUUUACUGGGCGUAAAGCGUGCGUAGGCGGCUUUUUAAGUCGGAUGUGAAAUCCCUGAGCUUAACUUAGGAAUUGCAUUCGAUACUGGGAAGCUAGAGUAUGGGAGAGGAUGGUAGAAUUCCAGGUGUAGCGGUGAAAUGCGUAGAGAUCUGGAGGAAUACCGAUGGCGAAGGCAGCCAUCUGGCCUAAUACUGACGCUGAGGUACGAAAGCAUGGGGAGCAAACAGGAUUAGAUACCCUGGUAGUCCAUGCCGUAAACGAUGUCUACUAGCCGUUGGGGCCUUUGAGGCUUUAGUGGCGCAGCUAACGCGAUAAGUAGACCGCCUGGGGAGUACGGUCGCAAGACUAAAACUCAAAUGAAUUGACGGGGGC
rnacentral:rRNA from 1 species